CUAAGUUAGCUCCAAAUCGCAUGACCAAUUUAUUCUACUUGUUGAAGUUCCGAAAAAGAUGUCAAUCAGGAUGCAUCAUUCAAACAAGCUUAUGCUGAUAACUUGGCCUUGUGAGUAUUCUUGUCUUCAUAUGUCAUCGCCUCUCUGUGGAGUCUGUAUCAUCAUAGGUCCCGAUAAAAAUGAGCGGAGUUCUUAGGAUCAGAAAUGGCAUUUCCACUGAGUAGAAAUUGUGGGUUGUGGGUUGCACUAUGUAGAAUGAGGUGAAAGUAUAUAUGCCGGAAUUUUUGUGAAGCAUACUGGUUUGAACUCUCUGCUACAAGAUAUUACAUCUCUAGUAAUAAUUAUGUUUGUUGGUACAUA